rnacentral:rRNA from 1 species
GACGAACGCUGGCGGCGUGCUUAACACAUGCAAGUCGAACGGUGAAGCGCCUUCCUUUUUGGUGGGUGUGGAUGAGUGGCGAACGGGUGAGUAACACGUGAGUAACCUGCCCCCUUCUUCCGGAGAACCGCAUGAAAGUGUGGCUAAUACUGGAUAGUCUGGGUCUGUCGCAUGAUGGGUCUGGGCAAGAUCUUGUUUCGGUGGGGGAUGGGCUCUCGGCCUAUCAGCUUGGUGGUGGGGUGAUGGCCUACCAAGGCGGUGACGGGUGGCCGGCCUGAGAGGGUGGACGGUCACACUGGGAAUGAGACACGGCGCAGACUACUACGGGCGGCAGCAGUGAGGAAUAGUGCACGGUGGGAGGAAGCCUGAUGCAGCGCCGCCGCGGGAGGGAUGGAGGCCGUCGGGUUGUGAACCUCUUUCGCCAGUGAAGCAGGCCUGCCUCGUUUGUGGGUGGGUUGACGGUAGCUGGAGAAGAAGCGCCGGCUAACUACGUG